CUACGGGGUGCUCCAGUGGGGAAUAUUGGACAAUGGGCGAAAGCCUGAUCCAGCCAUGCCGCGUGUGUGAAGAAGGCCCGAGGGUUGUAAAGCACUUUCAAUUGUGAGGAAGGUAGUGUAGUUAAUACCUGCAUUGCUUGACGUUAACUUUAGAAGAAGCACCGGCGAACUCUGUGCCAGCAGCCGCGGUAAUACAGAGGGUGCAAGCGUUAUUCGGAAUUACUGGGCGUAAAGCGCGCGUAGGCGGACUGUUAAGUCGGUUGUGAAAGCCCUGGGCUCAACCUGGGAACUGCAUCCGAUACUGGCAAUCUAGAAUUUAGUAGAGGGAAGGGGAAUUCCUGGUGUAGCUGUGAAAUGCGUAGAUAUCAGGAGGAACAUCAGUGGCGAAGGCGCCUUCCUGGACUAAAAUUGACGCUGAGGUGCGAAAGCGUGGGUAGCAAACGGGAUUAGAUACCCGUGUAGUC
rnacentral:rRNA from 1 species